rnacentral:rRNA from 1 species
UACGUAGGAUGCAAGCGUUGUCCGGAAUUAUUGGGCGUAAAGAGCUCGUAGGCGGUUUGUCGCGUCUGCUGUGAAAACCCGAGGCUCAACCUCGGGCCUGCAGUGGGUACGGGCAGACUAGAGUGCGGUAGGGGAGAUUGGAAUUCCUGGUGUAGCGGUGGAAUGCGCAGAUAUCAGGAGGAACACCGAUGGCGAAGGCAGAUCUCUGGGCCGUAACUGACGCUGAGGAGCGAAAGCAUGGGGAGCGAACAGG